rnacentral:tRNA from 1 species
AGUAAAGUCAGCUAAACUAAGCUUUUGGGCCCAUAACCCAAACAUGUCGAUUAAACCCCUCCUUUGCUA